GACGAACGCUGGCGGCGUGCUUAACACAUGCAAGUCGAACGAAGUGGCGAACGGGUGCGUAACGCGUAAUCAACCUGCCCUUCAGAGGGGGACAACAGUUGGACACGACUGCUAAUCCCGCAUACUGAAGGAGGGGCUUGCGUCUGAUUAGCUAGUUGGGGGGGUAACGGCCCACCAAGGCGAUGAACAGAAGCCGGUCGGAGAGGAUGAACGGCCACAUCGGGACUUAGAAACGGCCCAGACUCCUACGGGAGGCAGCAGUGGGGAAUCUUCCGGAAUGGACGAAAGGCUGACGGAGCAACGCCGCGUGAGGGAUGACGGCCUUCGGGUUGGAAAGCUCUGUUAAUCGGGACGCGGUACCGGAAUAGAAAGCCACGGCUAACUACGUGCCAGCAGCCGCGGUAAUAC
rnacentral:rRNA from 1 species